rnacentral:rRNA from 1 species
GCUUCGCAUGAAGCAGUGUGAAAAACUCCGGUGGUAUACGAUGGAUCCGCGUCUGAUUAGCUGGUUGGCGGGGUAACAGCCCACCAAGGCGACGAUCAGUAGCCGGCCUGAGAGGGUGAACGGCCACAUUGGGACUGAGACACGGCCCAAACUCCUACGGGAGGCAGCAGUGGGGAAUAUUGCACAAUGGGGGAAACCCUGAUGCAGCGACGCCGCGUGAGUGAAGAAGUAUUUCGGUAUGUAAAGCUCUAUCAGCAGGGAAGAAAAUGACGGUACCUGACUAAGAAGCCCCGGCUAACUACGUGCCAGCAGCCGCGGUAAUACGUAGGGGGCAAGCGUUAUCCGGAUUUACUGGGUGUAAAGGGAGCGUAGACGGCAGCGCAAGUCUGAAGUGAAAUCCCAUGGCUUAACCAUGGAACUGCUUCGGAAACUGUGCAGCUGGAGUGCAGGAGAGGUAAGCGGAAUUCCUAGUGUAGCGGUGAAGUGCGUAGAUAUUGGGAGGAACACCAGUGGCGAAGGCGGCUUACUGGACUGUAACUGACGUUGAGGCUCGAAAGCGUGGGGAGCAAACAGGAUUAGAUACCCUGGUAGUCCACGCCGUAAACGAUGAUUAAUAGGUGUUGGGG